rnacentral:rRNA from 1 species
AACGAACGCUGGCGGCGUGCCUAACACAUGCAAGUCGAGCGAGAAAGCCCGCAAGGGUGAGUAAAGCGGCGCACGGGUGCGUAACACGUGGGUAAUCUUCCUUGGAGCCCGGAAUAACUCCCCGAAAGGGGUGCUAAUGCCGGAUGAGACCACGGGAUCUCCGGAUCCUGAGGGAAAAGGCGGCCUCUGUACACAAGCUGUCACUCCAAGAUGAGCCCGCGGCCCAUCAGCUAGUUGGCGGGGUAAUGGCCCACCAAGGCUACGACGGGUAGCUGGUCUGAGAGGACGAUCAGCCACACUGGAACUGAGACACGGUCCAGACUCCUACGGGAGGCAGCAGUGGGGAAUCUUGCGCAAUGGGCGAAAGCCUGACGCAGCAACGCCGCGUGUGUGAUGAAGGUCUUCGGAUCGUAAAGCACUGUCGGGAGGGACGAAUAAGGCGGCGGCUAAUAUCCGCAGCCGAUGACGGUACCUCCAAAGGAAGCACCGGCUAACUCUGUGCCAGCAGCCGCGGUAAUACAGAGGGUGCAAGCGUUGUUCGGAAUUAUUGGGCGUAAAGCGCGUGUAGGCGGCCUUGCAAGUUGGGUGUGAAAGCCCUCGGCUUAACCGAGGAAGUGCGCCCAAAACUACAGGGCUUGAGUACCGGAGAGGGUGGCGGAAUUCCCGGUGUAGAGGUGAGAUUCGUAGAUAUCGGGAGGAACACCAGUGGCGAAGGCGGCCACCUGGACGGAUACUGACGCUGAGACGCGAAAGCGUGGGUAGCAAACAGGAUUAGAUACCCUGGUAGUCCACGCUGUAAACGAUGAGCGCUAGGUGUUGUGGGUGUUGACCCCUGCAGUGCCGCAGCUAACGCAUUAAGCGCUCCGCCUGGGAAGUACGGCCGCAAGGC